UUUUAAAAAUUUUAUUUACUUGUAGUGUUAAAAAUUAGUAUAACUAAUGGAAUAACCAGAUAUAAUACGUGGCAUGCCAUGUGUAUAUUAUGUUGACAUACAAUGACUAAUUUUAACAGUAGAAAUGAAUAAAAUUUUUAACA
rnacentral:pre_miRNA from 1 species